rnacentral:lncRNA from 1 species
ACUAACUCCAUGAUUAUGGUUCGAUAAUAAGGUUUAACUACUCUUUAGUGCCAUAAAAAGUGAAACUCCACGUGCUCAAUGGUUACGUCUGAAUUAUCUAUAGAAGGAAGAUAAGGAAAUAGCAAUGAUAAAAGAUUUUUUAUUGUACUAAAUUCUGUCGAAUUCUACUUUCAAUAUUCUGUUCACCACUUCCUACUGAUUUAAGCAUCGAAGGAUCUCCA